GAUACGAGCAGACUAGAGUGUUGCAGGGGAGACUGAAAUUCCUGGUGUAGCGGUGAAAUGCGCAGAUAUCAGGAGGAACACCGGUGGCGAAGGCGGGUCUCUGGGCAACAACUGACGCUGAGGAGCGAAAGCGUGGGGAGCGAACAGGAUUAGAUACCUUGGUAGUCCACGCCGUAAACGUUGGGCGCUAGGUGUGGGGCUCAUUCCACGAGUUCCGUGCCGCAGCUAACGCAUUAAGCGCCCCGCCUGGGGAGUACGGCCGCAAGGCUAAAACUCAAAGGAAUUGACGGGGGCCCGCACAAGCGGCGGAGCAUGUUGCUUAAUUCGAUGCAACGCGAAGAACCUUACCUAGGCUUGACAUGCACGGAAAUCCUCCAGAGAUGGUGGGUCCGUAAGGGCCGUGCACAGGUGGUGCAUGGUUGUCGUCAGCUCGUGUCGUGAGAUGUUGGGUUAAGUCCCGCAACGAGCGCAACCCUCGUUCUAUGUUGCCAGCACGUCAUGGUGGGGACUCAUAGGAGACUGCCGGGGUCAACUCGGAGGAAGGUGGGGAUGACGUCAAAUCAUCAUGCCCCUUAUGUCUAGGGCUGCAAACAUGCUACAAUGGCCGGUACAAAGGGCUGCGAUACCGCGAGGUGGAGCGAAUCCCAAAAAGCCGGUCUCAGUUCGGAUUGGGGUCUGCAACUCGACCCCAUGAAGUU
rnacentral:rRNA from 1 species